rnacentral:lncRNA from 1 species
AUCCGGAACAGCGGCCAAGCUAGCAACGGCCUCGCAGUCUUUCUCCAUCUCCUUCAGAUGAACGAUCUCGUCUUCCACAACCAGCCCUUCAUCUUUGAUCUCAUUCAGCAGAUCGAGAUUGGCAACCACCUCAUGGAGUUGAAUCUCAGUAGACACUUCCUUCUUCUUGUCAACUCAUUUCUUCUCCAAAGAAGUUAGGACCUCACGGAAGCCGUUAGUAAUUUCACGACGAGCGACGCUAGAACCCCUACGGAUAUCUCGGUCACGAUCGGUCUCGAGCUCCACGAUCUUGGUCCUGAGGGCAGCGACAUCUGUCUCAAA